GCCCACAGUGUGUGAGGACCUCACAGGGCAAGGCAUUCCUGGCACUGUGAAGAAACCUGGCCUGUCCACUCAACGCGAGGAGGAGCCUUUCUCAUAGGAAGACCACCUGCCCCUGCAGGUGCUUCAGUCCCAUUGAUGGCCGGACGAGGCA